rnacentral:lncRNA from 1 species
CUUGGAUUGAAUUCUGUAUUACCUCGUCAGAGUUAUCUCCCAUCUCUACCCCAUAGGUUCUUAUCUGUAAAAUCAGGAAAAUAACAGUACCUAUCAUAUGGGAUUAUUUUGAAGGAAACACUUGAAACAGUGAUUGGUAAGUGCUACAUAAGAGUUGCCUAAACAAAUAAGUGACAACUAUCCUAACAGAGAAAUAAAUGAAGUUCUCUGGAAGUUCAGAGGCAGACUUGUGUUCUGAGAGAGUAGAAAAGGCUCAUGACAGAGAUAGCAUUUGAGCAAGACUUGAAGACUUGGCUUAACUUACUUCCUUCCUUCCUUCCUUCCUUCCUUCCUUCCUUCCUUCCUUCCUUCCUUCCUCCUUUCCUUUCUUUCCUUUCCCUUCCUUUCCUUUCCCUUUUUCUUUCUUUCUUUUCCCUUUUCCUCCCUUCCUUCCUUCCUUUCUUUCUUUUUUCUUUUCUUUUUUUUUUUUUUCAGAGUCUUGCGCUGUCACCCAGGCUGGAGUGCAGUGGCGCAAUCUUGGCUCACUGCAACCUCUGCCUCCCAGGUUCAAGCGAUUCUCUUGCCUCAGCCUCCCAAGGCUUGGCUUAACUUUCUAUACAACAUUCUUUGUUCGUCUGAGUCACUGCUACCAACAUUAUUACGUUGUCUGCCAACGCUAACUGGCCAGCUCUGACAGGAGGUGCGUGGCCCAGGAGGAGCCAUCAGGCCAGUUCUCUGGGAUACUGCUGUGUCUCCAGCUCUGCAGUUUGCUCUGCAUCACUCAGCGGCAGACGGAGAGGCAGACACGAGCCCCUUGUGAGCCCUCCUCCUUACCGUCAUCCCACAAUGCUCUGAAAUAAGGAGGCAAAUGGCUGAGGUCCCCUCAGUUGUAGAUGUGAUUGAGUUCUAUCUACCAGAAGCAUAUGCCUCCUGGAAGCCUGGUUCUAACACCUCCCACAAAAUCCUUCAAGCGCUUUUUUCUGUUCCAAUGUUUGCUUAUGGGGGACCCAGUGAAGUGCUUCAGAGCCCUAGAGAUAUGCUGAGUCAUAUGAGGGGUCAGCAAACUUUUCCUGUAAAGGGUCAGAUAAUAAACAUUUUAAGCUUUGUAGACUGUCUAAAGUCUCUGUUUCUUCUCCCCCUCCUCCUCCUCUUUCUCCUUCAGCUUCUUUCCUUUAAAUAUGUACAAAACCUUUCUUCUUUUCCAAAAUCUGUCUAUAUUUGA